rnacentral:sRNA from 1 species
CAUUUUGGGAUUAGCUUUCUUUAUCUCUCAAACCCUAAUUUUUCUCCCUUUUGAAUCUCAUCUCUGUCCGCUCGCGCCGGUCAAUCGGUUUAUAAAAAUUUCCUCUGUCCGGUCGCUGUCGCUGCUUCGUAUAAAAAGUUAGCUUUGCUGUGGUGAGGCACGGUCUCGAACCCUAAUUUUUCAACCUUUAUGUUCUCAUCUCUCUCUGCUCGCUCCGAACGGUUCGUUUGUAAAAAUUCAUCUCUGUGCCGUCGUUGUCACUGCUUGGUAUAAAAAGUUGGCUUUGCUGUCUUCAAUUCCUUUUUCUUGGAAAGUGGAAGCCCCAAAUUUGAGCUUAGAGCUUUAAUUUCUUAAUCAUUCGUUUCUCUGCACUCUCAUCAGUCAGUCUUGAUACUCUCUCAGAGGAGCCUACAUAUUUAAACGUGUUGCUGGUAUAAAAUUUUCUCAUCUAUUUGCAAACAAGUUUGGCAAAUCACAGUACAAAGGUGAGCCAAUUAUUCUCAUGGUGCUUGAAAAAUUUCAACUCUGCAAGUUGGAAAAAAAAGGAGGGUUUCAAAAUACUGUGCUUUCACGCUUUGGCGUCUUUGUCUUUGUGUUUGAAAGAUUUCUGUACUAAAGGUGAGUGAGCUAAAAUUUUGGAAUUGUUAAGAUCAAAUUUUAAGUAUUUGUUUCGAUUUUGUUUUAUAAAGUAUGAAUAAACUUGGUAUUUCCUUUAACUUUAAAUUGAAAUCCUAAUUUUGAUGGUUUGUUCAUAAUUAAUGUUUGUUAUGUUUUUUUGCUGUGUGAUUUAUGUGUUAAUAUU